rnacentral:lncRNA from 1 species
UGGGUUUCAUGUUGAUGCAUUUGUUUCGCAUUUAGUCUGUCUGGUUGCAAGAUUAACGAUAUACAUAUCGAUGUAUUCAGUACUGAUGUGUCUGUUUUGGUUGUGAUGAUUAUUUGGAUAUCGGAUUGCCAUUGUAAUUUUUUUUUAUUAUGGUACUUAAUUUUCAAUUUUUUCUGUCGUUUCGAUCUCACACUAAGCUCGUG